AUUGAACGCUGGCGGCAGGCCUAACACAUGCAAGUCGAGCGGAUGAAGGGAGCUUGCUCCUGGAUUCAGCGGCGGACGGGUGAGUAAUGCCUAGGAAUCUGCCUGGUAGUGGGGGAUAACGUCCGGAAACGGGCGCUAAUACCGCAUACGUCCUGAGGGAGAAAGUGGGGGAUCUUCGGACCUCAUGCUAUCAGAUGAGCCUAGGUCGGAUUAGCUAGUUGGUGGGGUAAAGGCCUACCAAGGCGACGAUCCGUAACUGGUCUGAGAGGAUGAUCAGUCACACUGGAACUGAGACACGGUCCAGACUCCUACGGGAGGCAGCAGUGGGGAAUAUUGGACAAUGGGCGAAAGCCUGAUCCAGCCAUGCCGCGUGUGUGAAGAAGGUCUUCGGAUUGUAAAGCACUUUAAGUUGGGAGGAAGGGCAGUAAGUUAAUACCUUGCUGUUUCGACGUUACCAACAGAAUAAGCACCGGCUAACUUCGUG
rnacentral:rRNA from 1 species